CCGCCUCUCCCCAUCUUUUCCAGCAGCGGAGGGAGGACAGCGCCUGCCCCUGCUUGUGCAGGCGGUGCGGUCUGUGCUGAGAGACCCCAGCAGGAAGGUGGCGAGGGCAGUUCUGCGCUUCACCAAGGAGCUGCUCAGCUGCAGCGUCCAGAGCUGCUCGGCCUGGGAUCUGGUGGCCCACGUCUUCGCCACGUUCAGCCAGGCCUCCGGCAGACUGGCGCAGGGAAACCUUUCUCGGGCAGAAGCACAGGAAGCAACAGACCUUCAAGCCCUGUGCUUGGACAUCCUGGGCUCUGUGGACGUCUCCGUCAGGGGGAUGACCAAACUCUUGUGGCCGCGGCUCCUGCAGUACGUGGUGCCAGCCCAGUACACGGGCACGCUGGUGCCCCUGUCCCAGUGCCUCCGAGAGCUGGCCGAGCGCCGGCAGAGAGCAGGGGANNNNNNNNNNNNNNCCAUGUGCCCGGCCGGGCCGUGCAGGGGCCGGGGACGCCCUGCCAGACGCAGGCGGGAGGCGGGAGCGAGGACGGGCAGAGCCGUGCCCCUCUGGCCGGGGCGAGGGAGCUCUGUGCCGCGUUUCCUCGUGCCCGGCAGAGACGCCUCGCUCGACUGCUGGCAGCUUUCUGCUUGCGGCCCGGGAGCGUUUCCCAGCCGCGCUGGAGCUGCCUGCACCUC
rnacentral:lncRNA from 1 species